rnacentral:lncRNA from 1 species
AGGAAAAGAGGAGGAGAAAUGUGGUGACACAGCAGGACAAUCCCUAGCACUGGUUGACCACAGUUACUUUGUAUCUAAUAGCUUGUGUUGCUGGAUGAUGUUCCCAACAAAGAGGAUGUUCUCAACAGCAAAAAAAGGGCAUGAUCGAUUUCUCUUCCAUACAGUGAUGAUCAGAUAUUGCUUCAGUCAGCAGAGCAACAGCCCUUGACUCUGCUGGUGCCUGCCCUACUGUCUUUCUCCACUCUGAGCUUUGUUUCUUUUUGAAUGUAAUGAUAAAAAAGUGUAAAACCAU